AAUCAACGCUGGCGGCGUGCCUCAGACAUGCAAGUCGAACGAUUAAAAGCUCUCUUCGGAGAGUGUAUAGAGUGGCGCACGGGUGAGUAACACGUAAGUAAUCUACCCUCGAGUGGGGAAUAACAACCGGAAACGGUUGCUAAUACCGCAUAAUGCAGCGGCACCGCAAGGUGACAGUUGUUAAAGAUUUAUCGCUUGAGGAGGAGCUUGCGGCAGAUUAGCUAGUUGGUAGGGUAACGGCUUACCAAGGCUACGAUCUGUAACCGGUCUAAGAGGACGGUCGGUCACACUGACACUGAAUAACGGGUCAGACUCCUACGGGAGGCAGCAGUCGGGAAUUUUGGGCAAUGGGCGAAAGCCUGACCCAGCAACGCCGCGUGAAGGAUGAAGUAUUUCGGUAUGUAAACUUCGAAAGAAUAGGAAGAAUUAAUGACGGUACUAUUUAUAAGGUCCGGCUAACUACGUAG
rnacentral:rRNA from 1 species